rnacentral:rRNA from 1 species
CCCUUAGAUGUCCUGGGCUGCACGCGCGCUACACUGAUGUGUCCAGUAAGCACCUAACCUCUUCCGAAAGGAACGGGUAACCUUAGCAAAGCACAUCGUGAUGGGGAUAGAUUAUUGCAAUUAUUAGUCUUGAACGAGGAAUUCCUAGUAAGCACAAGUCAUCAGCUUGUGUUGAUUACGUCCCUGCCCUUUGUACACACCGCCCGUCGCUCCUACCGAUUGAAUGUUCCGGUGAGCUCUUCGGACUGCGCGGUCUGCAGUUUCUGCGUUCCGUGCGGAAAGUUGUGCAAACCUUAACAUUUAGAGGAAGGAGAAGUCGUAACA